AAAAUUAGUUACAGGACAAGUUAUACGUGAUGAUGAUGGGUGUCUUUGAUUAGACCAAGAAAUGGGUCACGAUCAUUUCAAUAUGUUCGACCAAGUUCCCAUAGAAAUCGAGGGCAUUUUAGAAGCGGCUUGCGUGAACGUGAAGUCGAAAAGACUCGAGGCUUACCCUUCUUAACUAACCGGAGCUCUCUAUCCCUUGGACGCCGG
rnacentral:lncRNA from 1 species